rnacentral:rRNA from 1 species
GUGAGGAAUAUUGGGCAAUGGGCGCAAGCCUGACCCAGCAACGCCGCGUGAAGGAAGACGGUCUUCGGAUUGUAAACUUCUUUUGUCAGGGACGAAUAAUGACGGUACCUGGCGAAUAAGCCACGGCUAACUACGUGCCAGCAGCCGCGGUAAUACGUAGGUGGCAAGCGUUGUCCGGAUUUACUGGGUGUAAAGGGCGAGUAGGCGGAUUUGCAAGUCAGGUGUGAAAGCCCGGGGCUUAACCCCGGGUCUGCAUUUGAAACUGCGGAUCUUGAGUAUCGGAGAGGCAGGCGGAAUUCCCGGUGUAGCGGUGGAAUGCGUAGAUAUCGGGAGGAACACCAGUGGCGAAGGCGGCCUGCUGGACGACAACUGACGCUGAGGAGCGAAAGCGUGGGGAGCAAACAGGAUUAGAAACCCGGGUAGUCC